rnacentral:lncRNA from 1 species
GCAGUUCAAUUGUCCAACUUCGGCUUGAAAAAGGUAGUUUCAUCCAGGCCCAUUGACCAAAAACACGAUUUUUGGACAACUUUUGACCUUGGAAGUUUUGGGAGAGAAUUGGAGGCUACAAGACACGGGAUUUCAUCAUUUUUACAUCAAUUAGAUACGAGAGUUUAGAUUGUAACGUGAGAUUGGUACUUUUUUAUUUUUUAAUUAUAUUUGUAAUGACU